rnacentral:lncRNA from 1 species
CCAACCCCAACGUCAUAUAUAUAUAUAUAAAGAGGACCUGUCUCAUAAGGAGUCAUAACCAUUCAACCGUAACAACAUACGCGAGCCGACAAGGCCGCCACUAUUCAAAGCAUAAUAACAUACGUAAGCCAACAAGGCUGCCACUACACAAUACACAAUGAUGUACGCAGCCGACAAGGCUGCCCCUGUACAAGCGGACAUCCCAAACAAACCAUGUCCAGACCAUUACCCAAAACAUAUAUUUACAACCCACAUAAUGUCCACAGACCUCUAAGAGUACAUUAGUGAAACUCGAUAGGACAGGGCCCCGCCAUACCCAUAGACGAGCAAAAGACAACACAAAAGUUAUGUACCAAAACGACUGGGCUCUGGAACAAUGGAGCUCUCCCAAUCAGCAGAGAAGAUAUCCUAGGCGAGAGGAUCACCGAACUGCGCGUCUACACCUGCGGGCAUGAAACGCAGCCCCCCGAGGAAAGGGGGGUCAGUACGGACAAUGCACUGAGUAUGUAAAGUAUAAGGUAAAGAUGACAGGAUACCAAUAUGGCAAGUCGAAACAAAAUAUCGCUACACAUGUACCCUUUUAAGUGAAAAUCAUGCAUAUCUUUAACAUAUAAGGUGCCCAACUUCCUUAGUAAGGGGCUCGGCAAAAUAAUCAUCACGUCAUCUCCGUCAUCAUCAUCAUCAUAACCAUCCUCAUCACCAAUCAUAUAUAUAAUAUACAUACCCGUCCCUCUAGUGAGGAACUCAGUGACAUAGGCAAGAAACUCCGCACGAACAUUACCCGGCCCGGGACUCAGUGAAAUGAUAAAUGACUCUAUGCACGAGCAGAAUAUUAUGAGCAACCAUAUGCAAUUAAAAUCAUUUCUUAUAACUCAAUAGAACAAACAACAUGAACCAGCAAGGAGUAUUACCAAAGAUUAAUGUUUUAUCAAGAUUAUGAACCUUUAAUACGAUAUGGAAACGUAAAAUCUCAAUGACUCUAAGAAGCACUAACAUAGAUAUGAGAGAUCAUCAUAGCCUUAGACAUAGCUGAUAUAUAGAGGAAUAAUUGUGGAAGCAAGAAUAUACGUCACCUAGACGCUCUAGAGGAAAGUAUCAAACCUGUCCGUUAUUCGCUUUAUUUUAAUAGUCAUGCCAAACAAGGAAAGAAGUGACAGCGUUACAUACCAUAUAAUCGAGCCGCACGUCCAAUAUUUACUGCUCAAGCUAUUAAUCUAUAACAAGAAACAAUCGUGCCGCAAUUAGAUAAACAUCGCGCUUUACUUUCUUGUAAGCUAGCUAAUAAUCUAACGAAAAUUCGGCAGCACUUCCCCUAUUUUCCUUACUUCGUCCCAAUCCGACAACAACCCAAAUUAUCCACAGCAAUACCAAUAACACAUAUAUCCCAACGAAUCUUAUUAAACAGCCCCCUCCCCAAAACAGUUUCAUCUCGGCAACCAUAGCAGUGAAGCAACGACACACCAAGCGAUAACUUGUUAUAUAAUUCGCAACACAUCUACCUUAUUGUAUUCAUCCUUUGGAGUAUAUACUCAUAAUCACAUUGAACAUAUACAUAACACCAAUACAGAAUUUUCCUGCAGUUUGCUUUAAUCAAAACAGCCCAAGCACCAACACGACACCACUAAUAAUCCGAUUAUGGUUUCCGUUUAUACUUAGCACAUUCAAUAACUAAAACAAACUUCCUAAGCUACUGGUCACACCCCCUUCUUAAAAUUAAUGGAUAAUUAACAAAGGUAUUCUAAAGAAUUAACACACCAAACAAGGAGAUUACUAACCAAAUUAUUUGCUGCUACUGGCCAAGAGUUGCAGGGUUGGUUUCUCUAUUUCCAUGGCUGCCUAAGACAAGUGGUGAAGAAGAUGAUGAUAUGCAGCAAUGCAUUUCACCACUUUAUUUAGCAUGGAGUGGAUUUCUCCACCUCAUUUAUUAGUAUGAAGUGGAGGCAGCCCCCCU